rnacentral:rRNA from 1 species
CACAAGCGGUGGAGCAUGUGGUUUAAUUCGACGCAAUGCGAAGAACCUUACCAGCUCUUGACAUGUCAGGUCGGUUUCCAGAGAUGGAUUCCUCCCAGCAAUGGGCCUGAACACAGGUGCUGCAUGGCUGUCGUCAGCUCGUGUCGUGAGAUGUUGGGUUAAGUCCCGCAACGAGCGCAACCCUCGCCAUUAGUUGCCAUCAUUAAGUUGGGCACUCUAGUGGGACUGCCGGUGAUAAGCCGGAGGAAGGUGGGGAUGACGUCAAGUCCUCAUGGCCCUUAUGUCCAGGGCUACACACGUGCUACAAUGGGCGGUACAGAGGGUUGCCAACCCGCGAGGGGGAGCCAAUCCCAGAAAGCCGUCCUCAGUUCAGAUUGGAGUCUGCAACUCGACUCCAUGAAGGUGGAAUCGCUAGUAAUCGCGGAUCAGCCAUGCCGACGGUGAAUACGUUCCCGGGCCUU